UACGUAGGGUGCAAGCGUUGUCCGGAAUUAUUGGGCGUAAAGAGCUCGUAGGCGGUCUGUCGCGUCGAAUGUGAAAACCCGGGGCUCAACCCCGGGCCUGCAUUCGAUACGGGCAGACUAGAGUUCGGUAGGGGAGUCUGGAAUUCCUGGUGUAGCGGUGAAAUGCGUAGAUAUCAGGAGGAACACCGGUGGUGUAGACGGCUAGCUGGACAAGCACUGACACUCAACUACGAAAGCGUGGGGAGCAAACAGG
rnacentral:rRNA from 1 species